rnacentral:rRNA from 1 species
AUUGAACGCUGGCGGCAUGCUUUACACAUGCAAGUCGAACGGUAACAGGUCUUCGGAUGCUGACGAGUGGCGAACGGGGGAGUAACACAUCGGAACGUGCCGAGUAGUGGGGGAUAACUACUCGAAAGAGUAGCUAAUACCGCAUGAGAUCUAAGGAGGACAGCAGGGGACCUUCGGGCCUUGCGCUACUAGAGCGGCUGAUGGCAGAUUAGGUAGUUGGAGGGAUAAAAGCUUACCAAGCCGACGAUCUGUAGCUGGUCUGAGAGGACGACCAGCCACACUGGGACUGAGACACGGCCCAGACUCCUACGGGAGGCAGCAGUGGGGAAUUUUGGACAAUGGGCGAAAGCCUGAUCCAGCAAAGCCGCGUGCAGGAUGAAGGCCCUCGGGUUGUAAACUGCUUUUGUACGGAACGAAAAGACUCUCUCUAAUAAAGAGGUUUGAUGACGGUACCGUAAGAAUAAGCACCGGCUAACUACGUG